rnacentral:rRNA from 1 species
CACUUUGUCUUUAUGGCAAAUGUGAGAUGCAGUGUAUGGAAUGUCAAAUUUCUAGUAUGAGAAAUUAACGAUUUAAGUCCUUCUUAAAUGAGGCCAUUUACCCAUAGAGGGUGCCAGGCCCGUAUAACGUUAAUGAUUACUAGAUGGCAUUUCCAAAGAGUCGUGUUGCUUGAUAGUGCAGCACUAAGUGGGUGGUAAACUCCAUCUAAAACUAAAUAUAACCAUGAGACCGAUAGUAAACAAGUACCGUGAGGGAAAGUUGAAAAGAACUCUGAAUAGAGAGUUAAAUAGUACGUGAAACUGCUUAGAGGUUAAGCCCGAUGAACCUGAAUAUCCAUUAUAGAAAAUUCAUCAUUAUGAUUUUAAUAUAAUUUAAUAUCAAAAUAAUGGUGUGCAUUUUUUCUAUAAAGGACAUUGUAAUCUAUUGACAUAAAUGAAAAUUUAUCAAAAGAUCAAUUGCGUAAGUUUAUUCAAAUUAUUUUGCUUGCAAUUUAACAUAAAAUAAAUGCUUUUGAUUUGAUAAAGUGUUGAUAGAUUUAUAACAUAUAGUGCUUGAAUAUUUUAUAUUCUAUAAUAGCAUAUUAAUUUAUAAUUUUUGUGUUUAUUAUAUGCACUUAUAUGAUUAACAAUGCGAAAGAUUCAGGAUACCUUCGGGACCCGUCUUGAAACACGGACCAAGGAGUCUAACAUAUUUGCAAGUUAUUGGGAAUAAAAACCUAAUAGCGAAAUUAACAUAACUUAUUAUUGGGAUUAGUUUUUAGUCUAUUUAUAGUCUAUUAAUUCAAUCCCGGGGCGUUCUAUAUAGUUAUGUAUAAUAAUAUUUAUAUUAUUUAUACCUCUAACUAGAGCGUACCUUGAGCAUAUAUGCUGUGACCCGAAAGAUGGUGAACUAUACUUGAUCAGGUUGAAGUCAGGGGAAACCCUGAUGGAAGACCGAAACAGUUCUGACGUGCAAAUCGAUUGUCAGAAUUGCAGUAUAGGGCG